GUCGAACGGCAGCACGGGUGCUUGCACCUGGUGGCGAGUGGCGAACGGGUGAGUAAUAUAUCGGAACGUACCCUAGAGUGGGGGAUAACGCAGCGAAAGUUGCGCUAAUACCGCAUACGAUCUACGGAUGAAAGUGGGGGAUCGCAAGACCUCAUGCUCAUGGAGCGGCCGAUAUCUGAUUAGCUAGUUGGUGGGGUAAAAGCCUACCAAGGCAUCGAUCAGUAGCUGGUCUGAGAGGACGACCAGCCACACUGGAACUGAGACACGGUCCAGACUCCUACGGGAGGCAGCAGUGGGGAAUUUUGGACAAUGGGCGCAAGCCUGAUCCAGCAAUGCCGCGUGAGUGAAGAAGGCCUUCGGGUUGUAAAGCUCUUUUGUCAGGGAAGAAACGGUGAGGGCUAAUAUCCUUUGCUAAUGACGGUACCUGAAGAAUAAGCACCGGCUAACUACGUGCCAGCAGCCGCGGUAAUACGUAGGGUGCAAGCGUUAAUCGGAAUUACUGGGCGUAAAGCGUGCGCAGGCGGUUAUGUAAGUCAGAUGUGAAAUCCCCGGGCUCAACCUGGGAAUGGCAUUUGAGACUGCAUGGCUAGAGUGUGUCAGAGGGGGGUAGAAUUCCACGUGUAGCAGUGAAAUGCGUAGAGAUGUGGAGGAAUACCGAUGGCGAAGGCAGCCCCCUGGGAUAACACUGACGCUCAUGCACGAAAGCGUGGGGAGCAAACAGGAUUAGAUACCCUGGUAGUCCACGCCCUAAACGAUGUCUACUAGUUGUCGGGACUUAAUUGUCUUGGUAACGCAGCUAACGCGUGAAGUAGACCGCCUGGGGAGUACGGUCGC
rnacentral:rRNA from 1 species